UCUUUCGCUUUGAUGAAACAUUCCGGAUGUAAACCUUUGUCAAUUUCCGAGAGCGCAAAACCAAGUGGACACUUUCCGUUGCCUUCCUUCUGAGCCCCUAC
rnacentral:snoRNA from 1 species